rnacentral:rRNA from 1 species
GACGAACGCUGGCGGCGUGCUUAACACAUGCAAGUCACGGGGGCUCGCAACGAGCAACCGGCGAACGGGUGCGUAACACGUGAGCAACCUGCCUUUGUGUGGGGGAUAGCCGGGCUAACGCCCGGGUAAUACCGCAUACGGUUCUCGAGGGGAGUCCCUUGGGAAAGAAACCUCCGGGGCACAGAGAGGGGCUCGCGGCCUAUCAGCUUGUUGGCGGGGUAAUGGCCCACCAAGGCGACGACGGGUAGCUGGCUGAGAGGAUGGCCAGCCACAUUGGGACUGAGAGACGGCCCAGACUCCUACGGGAGGCAGCAGUGGGGAAUCUUGCGCAAUGGCCGAAAGGCUGACGCAGCGACGCCGCGUGUGGGAGGACGCCUUU